UUUCUAUAACAUAGCGCUAAUGCAGUGGAUCCCAUUAGAACUUUGCAGUUAAGUGCACUCAGGAUAGAGUAGUACUGGGAUGGUGACCUGCCAAAAUGUCCAAGUGUUUUACAUGC
rnacentral:rRNA from 1 species